AGCGAACGCUGGCGGCAGGCCUAACACAUGCAAGUCGAGGGGUAGCAAGAUUGUAGCGAUACAAUUGUUGACGACCGGCAAACGGGUGCGGAACACGUACACAACCUUCCUACAAGUGGGGAAUAGCCCAGAGAAAUUUGGAUUAAUACCCCGUAACAUAGCGAUGUGGCAUCACAUUGCUAUUAUAGCUUCGGCGCUUGUUGAUGGGUGUGCGGCUGAUUAGAUAGUUGGCGGGGUAACGGCCCACCAAGUCUACGAUCAGUAGCUGAUGUGAGAGCAUGAUCAGCCACACGGGCACUGAGACACGGGCCCGACUCCUACGGGAGGCAGCAGUAAGGAAUAUUGGACAAUGGACGCAAGUCUGAUCCAGCCAUGCCGCGUGAAGGAUUAAGGUCCUCUGGAUUGUAAACUUCUUUUAUAAGGGACGAAAAAAGGUCUUUCUAGAUCGUCUGACGGUACCUUAUGAAUAAGCACCGGCUAACUCCGUGCCAGCCGCCGCGGUAAAAC
rnacentral:rRNA from 1 species